GGGGCGUACAAAACAUAGCUACAAAUCAAAGUAUUUGCUAAAGGAGUAAACUUGUAAUUUUUGUUGGGGAUGGAUUUGUCGAAGAAAAUAAUAUAAUUUAUAAGUUUGUGUAAUUUGUCAUCAGAAACUGAGACUAUCUGUAUAUUUUUUCUUUUAUGGGGUGAACCUGGUCCCAGUUGACACCCGGCCCUGCCCGAAGCUUAGUGACUGGGUACCCGGACCCAGUAUUUGGCCAAAUUUUACUACCUGUGCAUCCCUACUACUUAUGUUAGUAGAAGAAGGACACUGUGAACAAUAAAAAUAAUGUAGAAGAUUUUAUAUUGUGGUGCUUCAAGAAAACAUAGAAUAUUGUGGAAAAAAUAUGUGAAGGAAGAUUAUUGGACGAUAUCAUUAAGAAGAGAUCUUUGUAUUUUGGGUACAUGACAUAAAGAGAAGAGAGGAAUCAUGAAGGAAGACCAAUAAGGUAUAUCUCAUAUGGCCAAUGGCAGAUGAUCCUGACAGAGAAGUAUUUCCUGUUAAGGAAGUUCAACCCACAAGCAUUCAUGUACAUGGAUUGACGUAUGGAGAUGUAGGUACAAUCAAAAGAACCACAGCUCAGUUAAACAGAGAAGAAAUUGAAGACAAGUAUCUUCGUCUUCAAGAUGAACACCUGCUUCUGAAAAAACAUGCAAGAAAGCAAGAAGAUAAAAUCAAAAGAUUAGCUACAAAGUUAACAAGGCUUCUCAAUGAUAAGAAACGUUUAGAGCAAGACGGAUUUGGAAGAAAGCGAGAUGUGGAAACAGAAGAAAUGGUACAAGACCUACAGGAUAAAGUAAGAGAUCUGGAACGACAAAAUUCCCAACUUCGAGAAAAGCUUUUGGUUGCUAAGCAACAGAUUGUUUCUAAUGUGAGAAGACAUACACCUUAUAGAAAUGUGCAAGCAAGAGUUGAUUCGAGUCAGUCCAAGUGGAGUUCUUCCCCUGUAUGUAUUUAAUCUGCUAGACGAGGCUCGGACCGAGAUAAGGCAACUAGAAGAUAGGUUGAGUUCUCAAAAUGUCCAAAUAGAAGUGUAUGAACAAGAAAUUCAAACACUUAAAGAACAGCUGAGGGUCAGAGAUAUUGAGCAUGAAGAGGAAAUCUGUGCUUUAAAAGGACAGGUCACGCAAGGG
rnacentral:misc_RNA from 1 species